UACGUAGGGUCCAAGCGUUAAUCGGAAUUACUGGGCGUAAAGCGUGCGUAGGCGGUUCUCCAAGUCCGUUGUGAAAGCCCCGGGCUCAACCUGGGAAUGGCAGUGGAAACUAGGGGACUGGAAUCUGGCAGAGGGGGGUGGAAUGCCGCGUGUAGCAGUGAAAUGCGUAGAGAUGCGGCGGAACACCGAUGGCGAAGGCAGCCCCCUGGGCUGAGAUUGACGCUCAGGCACGAAAGCGUGGGGAGCAAACAGG
rnacentral:rRNA from 1 species